UAAACUGGGAUGUGUCCCCUGCAAGCACAC
rnacentral:piRNA from 1 species